rnacentral:lncRNA from 1 species
ACCUUUUCAUCAUCUGAAACUUCUAGUUUGGCUCUCUCAUCCUGUCUUGCCUUUCCUGAUCUUCAGCAUAUUCGGGGACUCCCAUCUCCAGGUAACCUUCCUCUCCACUUCUUAGCGUUGCCGUUGCUAAAAUAUGAGCAAGGUUGUUCGCAGAUCUUAAUGUAUGUUGAAAACUGAUAUUUUUUAAGCCGAAAAUUUUCUUCUGAAUAUCAUAGAUGUAUGUUCCUACCAUUGAUCGAUCUUGUUCUUUUGUGUUGCAUCUUUUGAUGAUUGCGAGGGAAUCGCCUUCAAAAAUGAGUGAUUGCCAGCCCUUGUCAAUACCUAUUUUGACUGCUGUCCAGCAUGCUAUGGCUUCAGCAGCAAAAGGAGACGAAACACCAUCGUGAAUUUUUGAGUAAGAUAAAAGAACAUGUCCUUCUGAAUCUCGAACCACAAUGCCUGAAGCUGACCGAUUCUGGGUUUCUUUAUAUGCACCGUCAAAGUUUAUCUUGACAAACUCUCUCUGUG